rnacentral:tRNA from 1 species
ACGACCAUAGCUUAGGGUGAGCGCCAGAGUAUCAAUCCGGACGCUUCGGGUUCGAAUCCUGUUGGUUUUU